GCCUUCGGAGUCUCAGCACACUCGACUCGUAUUCGAGAGGUCCGAGGUUCGAAUCCCGGCGAGGGCA
rnacentral:tRNA from 1 species